rnacentral:hammerhead_ribozyme from 1 species
GUACUGAUGAAGAGUCCCAAAACAGGGCGAAACGGUUGUCCAGUAA